UACGUAGGGGGCUAGCGUUGUCCGGAAUCAUUGGGCGUAAAGCGCGCGUAGGCGGCCCGGUAAGUCCGCUGUGAAAGUCCAGGGCUCAACCCUGGGAUGCCGGUGGAUACUGUCGGGCUCGAGUCCGGAAGAGGCGAGUGGAAUUCCUGGUGUAGCGGUGAAAUGCGCAGAUAUCAGGAGGAACACCGGUGGCGAAGGCGCCACUCUGGGCCGAAACUGACGCUGAGGAGCGAAAGCGUGGGUAGCAAACAGG
rnacentral:rRNA from 1 species